rnacentral:rRNA from 1 species
CCUACGGGUGGCAGCAGUGAGGAAUAUUGGUCAAUGGACGAGAGUCUGAACCAGCCAAGUAGCGUGAAGGAUGACUGCCCUAUGGGUUGUAAACUUCUUUUAUAUGGGAAUAAAAUGUGCCACGUGUGUCUUUUUGUAUGUACCAUAUGAAUAAGGAUCGGCUAACUCCGUGCCAGCAGCCGCGGUAAUACGGAGGAUCCGAGCGUUAUCCGGAUUUAUUGGGUUUAAAGGGAGCGUAGGUGGUUUGUUAAGUCAGUUGUGAAAGUUUGCGGCUCAACCGUAGAAUUGCAUUUGAAACUGGCAGUCUUGAGUACAGUUGAGGUAGGCGGAAUGCGUGGUGUAGCGGUGAAAUGCUUAGAUAUCACGAAGAACUCCGAUUGCGAAGGCAGCUUACUGGACUGCAACUGACACUGAGGCUCGAAAGUGUGGGUAUCAAACAGGAUUAGAUACCCGUGUAGUC